GACGAACGCUGGCGGCGUGCUUAACACAUGCAAGUCGAACGGGAUCAUUUGAGAGCUUGCUCUUAGAGAAUCUAGUGGCAAACGGUUGAUUAACACGUAGACAACCUGCCGACAGGAUGGGGACAACAUUCCGAAAGGAAUGCUAAUACCGAAUGAAGCGGAGGAGAGGCAUCUCUCCUCCGUUAAAGAUGGCCUCUGAAUAUGCUAUCACCUUUCGAUGGGUCUGCGUCUGAUUAGCUAGUUGGUGAGGUAACGACUCAACAAGGCGACGAUCGGUAGCCGGUCUGAGAGGAUGAACGGCCACAUUGGGACUGAGACACGGCCCAGACUCCUACGGGAAGCAGCAGGGGGGAAACUUCCGCAAGGGGCGCAAGCCUGACGGAGCAACGCCGCGUGAGAGAAGAAGGUCGUCGGAUCGUAAAGCUCUGUUGACGGGGACGAACGUGCGAAGGGUGAAUAAUCCUUUGUAAUGACGGUACCGGUAGAGGAAGCCACGGCUAACUACGUG
rnacentral:rRNA from 1 species